GUUUAUGGCCACACCACCCUGACAACACCUGAUGUCGUUUGAGCUCAGAAGGUAAGCAGGGUAGGGCUUGGGUAGAACUUGUCUAAUCCCAGAUGCCAUAAUCU
rnacentral:rRNA from 1 species